rnacentral:rRNA from 1 species
CAAUAGCGUAUAUUUAAGUGGUUGCAGUUAAAAAGCUCGUAGUUGGAUUUCGGGUGGGACGCAGCGGUCUCGCAUUGCGUUUGUACUGCUGCAGCCCUCCUUCUUGCCGGGGGCGGCCUCUCGGACUUCACUGUCUGGGGGUCAGAAUCGGCGAUGUUACUUUGAGUAAAUUAGAGUGUUCAAAGCAAGCUUACGCUCUGAAUAUAAUAGCAUGGGAUAACACGACAGGACUCUGGCCUAUCGUGUUGGUCUAUAGGACCAGAGUAAUGAUUAAGAGGGACAGUCGGGGGCAUUCGUAUUCCGUUGUCAGAGGUGAAAUUCUUGGAUUUACGGAAGACGAACAUCUGCGAAAGCAUUUGCCAAGGAUGUUUUCAUUGA